ACACAGGCAGCCCCGGGGCAACACAGGCAGAGAUGUGAUAAGUCUGAGUGUCCAGUCUGCAGAGAAGGAAAAUGCAAAAUCUCUAAGUCCAGGUAACAAAAUUCACCUGGUUUUGGACCUGCUUCCCUGAAAUGUCUUCAUAAACUCCCUGUCAGAGGAUGCCCUGGCUGCUGCAGAAUGAGCCUGAGUAACUUUGACAGACCUUGAAAUGCAUCUGUAUGGAUCAGAUUACCUCAGAAGUAGGAGGAAAUUUAUAUUUAUUGGAAGUCCUGCAGAGCCGACAUAACCGUGGGAUUGUGGAUGGGCUCUGGGGGACCAGCAGCCAAAUUAAACGGCACUUGCAGCUGCUCUGAUGCAAACUCACCAAAGACAGAGGAGCUGAACUGACAAGCAACAGCUGAGAGCUGACCUGGGCUGCAGAGGCUGUAGUUGGCACCGGAGGGGAGAUUAAAGCCAUCACUUCAAGUCUGAGGUUACGGAUUAUGAUUGGAAAAAAAUAUAUAUAUAUGGAUAUUUAUA